rnacentral:rRNA from 1 species
CCUACGGGUGGCAGCAGUGGGGAAUAUUGCACAAUGGGCGAAACCCUGAUCCAGCGACGCCGCGUGAGUGAUGAAGUCUUUAGGUAUGUAAAGCUCUCUCAGCAUGGAAGAAAAUGACGGUACCUGAUUGAGAAGCCCCGGCUAACUACGUUCCAGCAGCCGCGGGAAUACGGAGGGGGCAAGCGUUAUCCGGAUUUACUGGGUGUAAAGGGAGCGUAGACGGCAGCACAAGUCUGGAGUGAAAUGCCGGGGCUUAACCCCGGAACUGCUUUGGAAACUGUGCAGCUAGAGUGCAGGAGAGGUAAGUGGAAUUCCUGGUGUAGCGGUGAAAUGCGUAGAUAUUAGGAGGAACACCAGUGGCGAAGGCAGCUUACUGGACUGUAACUGACGUUGAGGCUCGAAAGCGUGGGGAGCAAACAGGAUUAGAUACCCUGGUAGUC